UGGGGAAUAUUGGACAAUGGGCGCAAGCCUGAUCCAGCCAUACCGCGUGGGUGAAGAAGGCCUUCGGGUUGUAAAGCCCUUUUGUUGGGAAAGAAAAGCAGCCGGUUAAUACCCGGUUGUUCUGACGGUACCCAAAGAAUAAGCACCGGCUAACUUCGUGCCAGCAGCCGCGGUAAUACGAAGGGUGCAAGCGUUACUCGGAAUUACUGGGCGUAAAGCGUGCGUAGGUGGUUGUUUAAGUCUGUCGUGAAAGCCCUGGGCUCAACCUGGGAAUGGCGAUGGAAACUGGGCGACUAGAGUGUGGCAGAGGGUAGUGGAAUUCCUGGUGUAGCAGUGAAAUGCGUAGAGAUCAGGAGGAACAUCAGUGGCGAAGGCGACUGCCUGGGCCAACACUGACACUGAGGCACGAAAGCGUGGGGAGCAAACA
rnacentral:rRNA from 1 species